AAAUCUUCGGGCGAGGAGCGAAGCUUGCGAGUAUUAACUUUAAAAAUGUUUUAUAAUGCAUCGAAAUAUUCAGGUUAUACUAAAAUUAGUUGGUCAAUUGAAAGGAUUAUAUAUCGCAAUGUCUCUCGCGGUCUAAAAACGACGUGCAAAUUUAAUUGAAUCGCUCGCUCGAAGCAGCCAAAUGUUUACAAUGUAUCAAUUGUUCAGCCGAGGAACUACAAUUUGAGGAAAUUAUCUGGCAUAAUUUCGAACGCAAAACGAAGAAUGGAACGAUACGAAAGGUAUAAUUUGUUUAAUAAAGGAAUUAUAUUAAAUUGUA